rnacentral:lncRNA from 1 species
AUUUCAGGGCGACUUUGGGAACACAAUAGUCGACUCGCCGACGUUCCCUUAGACGCGUUGCCAUACGUCGUCACCCAUAGAAACGGCUUUCCGCGGGGCAGACUCCAAGUCUCGCCUGUGUGAGCGGGCAGGGGUAGCAGGAAAGGCUGUUUUUCAUUUCCAAGAGAAAACCGUCACCCCGCCCACCUCGAACCUCCUCCCAACAUCUCAGGAUAGAAACGCCGCGCUCAGGUGAAUGAGAAAUGUUCUGAUACAGGAAAGAGGAGUUCGUGUUUCUUUCAGAAGGUGACCGUUUUCCUCCUUCUGAGGUCACGAGCUGUCCGUCCGAUGCCCAGAAUUCCGAGGCCUGAUGUGGCGUGUUUCCGGUAGCUGGGCUCCUCGGAGAGCUGUGGGAAGAGGCGCGGGCGACCGGGGGCGUCAGCGAGCCCUGUCUUCGCCUGCCUUCGCCGGCGUGGACUCUUCCCAGUGCCCGUCUUCCCCCGCGAAGUAAUAGUGUCCUGUAUUUCCUGACUACUAUGAUUUGUAGACCUCUACAAGCAAAUAUGUUCAGAUUUCAACAUCUGGCCAGAUGUGAGUCAAAGAGUUGUUUUCAAGGCUUGGCUGUGUUAGAUAGUCUUGUGGUUUGGGGUGUUUAGUCUGAAGGCAAAGAGUGCCCUUUUUUUUUUUGAUACAGAAUAUUGCUCCAUUGCACAGGCUGGAGUGCAAUGGUGCAAUCUCAGCUCACUGCAACCUCUGCCUCCCUAGUUUAAGUGAUUCGCCUGCCUCAGCCUCCCAAGUAGCUGGGAUUACAAGCGCCCGCCACCACGCCUGACAAAUUUUUGUAUUUUUAGUAGAGAUGGGGAUUCACAAAGUUGGCCAGGCUGGUCUCGAACUCCUGACCUCAGGUGAUCCACCUGCCUUGGCCUUCCAAAGUGCUGGGAUUACAGGUGUGAGCCAUCACGCCCAGCAAGAGUGCACUUUUAGAAGAACAAAAUACAGACUUUGAAGCAAUUAUUAAAAAAAAAAAAGGUCAAGUUUUCUGUUUGUUUGUUUGUUUGUUUGUUUUUAAUCAACUUGAAUUCUUGACCUUUGUUGUCCAUCAUUAUUUCAGUGUGGUGUUUUGGUUGAAAUGAACUGCAAUAAACACAAAAACUUCCGAGUAAAUCUUAACUAAAAAAACCUUAAUGUAUUUUUCCUUAAACCUAUCAAUCAAGAGAUCCUUGCCUUGAUGUUUUCAUUUCUUAUUUCUAGUACAUAGGAGCAUUUCCUUCUAAAUAUCCUAUGGCUGUACAGAUAUUGCUUCAGUUGAAUCUAUUAAAGUGUCAAAAUUAAGGAAUUUAUUCAGUCAUCAUAUAAAUUGAGUGCCUAUUCUGUGCCAGACUCUGUGCUAGGUGUUGAGGAUACAGUCUGGUGAGCAAGAAACAUUUAAAUAAGAUUUUACAGUAGAGUAUGAUAGGUGAUGAGGUAAGUACAGUGUGUCAUGGAACACCAUGUAUUGAGAUGAGGGAAGGACUAAAGGUUAAGUAAUAAAUCAGGCAGGUGAAGAUGAGGAGGGAAAUUUUAAAAUGUUCUAAGACAGUUAUUUUCAAAGUGUGGUCCAUGAAUCAGCAGCAUCAGCAUCAUCAGGGAACUAGUCAGAAAUUCAGAUUCUUGACCCAUACCCCAGACCUACUGAAUCAAUAACUCUGGAGAUGGACCCCAGGAAUCUGUGUUGUUGUGGUUUUGUUUUUUGUUUUUUGUUUUGUUUUUUGUUUUUUUGAGACGGAUCUCCCUCUGUUGCCCAGGCAGGAGUGCAGCAGUGUGAUCUCUGCUCACUGCAACCUCUGCCUCCUGGGUUCGGGAGAUUCUCCUGCCUCAACCUCUCGAGUAGCUGGGAUUACAGGCACGUGCCACCAUGCCCUGCUAAGUUUUGUAUUUUUAGUAGAGAUGGGGUUUCACCAUGUUGGCCAGGCUGGUCUUGAAUUCCUGACCUCAAGUGAUCCGUCCACCUCCGCCUCCCAAAGUGCUGGGAUUACAAAAGUGAGCCACUGUGCCUGUGCUAUAUAACAUUCUUGAAGUAACAAAACGAUAGAAAUAGAGAACGGAUUAGUGGUUGUCAGGGGUUAAGGAGGGGGUGGGGGUUGAAGGGAAGUGGGUGUGGCUAUAAAAGGGCAGCAUGAAGGAUUCUGGGGUAGUGGAACUGUGGAAAUACUCUGUAU